rnacentral:lncRNA from 1 species
AAAGAUAAUUUUAACUAGUUUAUGUAUUCGGACACAUCAACAUUCCUAAUUCUCUUCUUAUGAAAUCAAAUUGUUCUUCACUUAGAGGUUUUGUAAAAAUAUCGGCUAGUUUAGUAUCAAUAUCAUGGCAAUGUCAUGACUUAUCAACUGCAUUGGUGUAUCACUUUCUCAAAUUAUAUUUAUCAUGGAAAUCAAGGCACAAGGUUUUCAAAACAUUUAGUUUCAAUGUAAAAUCCGAGAUAAACAGUGAGAGAAGUUUGUAACUCUGCAUAUGCUCACAAGAAAAAUAUAUCAGGUAACCAUAUCAAGGAUCAAGAUAAAGCCCAUCAUGGUGAGUAAUAUAAGGAGUUUACAACAACA